ACAGCAGUAGCCACGGUAAUACGUAGGUCCCGAGCGUUGCCCGGAUUUAUUGGGCGUAAAGCGAGCGCAGGCGGUUAGAUAAGUCUGAAGUUAAAGGCUGUGGCUUAACCAUAGUACGCUUUGGAAACUGUUUAACUUGAGUGCAAGAGGGGAGAGUGGAAUUCCAUGUGUAGCGGUGAAAUGCGUAGAUAUAUGGAGGAACACCGGUGGCGAAAGCGGCUCUCUGGCUUGUAACUGACGCUGAGGCUCGAAAGCGUGGGGAGCAAACAGGAUUAGAUACCCCUGUAGUCCCUGUCUCUUAUACA
rnacentral:rRNA from 1 species